UCCUACUGCUCGGGGACUCCUUGGUCCUGGGCAAACAGGGAUGGCUGGGCACCCUCGGGCCACUCCCAGCAGCCAUGCAGGACCACGCUCCCAGGAAUCUCUGCUACACCGCCAGGCCCCCCUUAUGAAGGUCCCUCCUCUGUCCCACCUGGCCCUAUGGAGCUGUUAGAGCAGGACCACUGCCUGCCUGCUCUCUUUGUGAAGAUGUGAUAACAAGGCCUGGGUUGUAAGUGGCCAGAGAGCCAGAAGGCCUGGGUGAUGAUCGCAGAAUCACAGCUAAAGCGCUGAGCCUUCCAGAGAUGAAUUUGGAGAAUUCCAAAUUCUCAUGGAAAUCAUUCAUGUCUACCUGCCAGGAGCUGGGUUUCCUGAGCCCCAUAUGGUCCAAGAAUUGUCAUACUGCAAGCUACUCUGGAUACAUAGAGGGAAAGACACUUGCCGAAGUCCCUCAAGAGCUGGCCAUAUGGGAUCUGUGCUAAAAGGAAAGAAAGGGAAAUGGGUACCCAGAAGACUCGAGGUUGUCUUGAAAGAAGUAGAGUAAGACAAAGGAUUUGAAGUGAGCAGACCUGGGUUCUAGUACUAACACACCAAUCUGCUCUGUGACCUUUGGUCAGUCACUUAACCUCUCUGAGCUUCAUGUUCCUGCUCUGCAAAAUGUUAAUAUUUUUAAAAGGAAAAACCUUGUCCCUCUCCUACUAUUGUUGUAAGGAGGGAAAUGUGUUUUUCAAGUUAUGAAAUUCUAAGCAAAUGCUCCUUGUAGUUGUCACUAUUUUCCUCCUCAUUAACCAUCUGUAGUGCUCCGUAUACUCACCCAGCCCUGAGCAGAACUGAAAAAACUCAGCUGGAGGAUUCCAGUGCUC